UGGCGGCGUGGUUAAGACAUGCAAGUCGAACGAGAGAAUUGCUAGCUUGCUAAUAAUUCUCUAGUGGCGCACGGGUGAGUAACACGUGAGUAACCUGCCCCCGAGAGCGGGAUAGCCCCGGGAAACUGGGAUUAAUACCGCAUAGUAUCGAAAGAUUGAAGCAGCAAUGCGCUUGGGGAUGGGCUCGCGGCCUAUUAGUUAGUUGGUGAGGUAACGGCUCACCAAGGCGAUGACGGGUAGCCGGUCUGAGAGGAUGUCCGGCCACACUGGAACUGAGACACGGUCCAGACACCUACGGGUGGCAGCAGUCGAGAAUCAUUCACAAUGGGGGAAACCCUGAUGGUGCGACGCCGCGUGGGGGAAUGAAGGUCUUCGGAUUGUAAACCCCUGUCAUGUGGGAGCAAAUUAAAAAGAUAGUACCACAAGAGGAAGAGACGGCUAACUCUGUGCCAGCAGCCGCGGUAAUACAGAGGUCUCAAGCGUUGUUCGGAAUCACUGGGCGUAAAGCGUGCGUAGGCUGUUUCGUAAGUCGUGUGUGAAAGGCGCGGGCUCAACCCGCGGACGGCACAUGAUACUGCGAGACUAGAGUAAUGGAGGGGGAACCGGAAUUCACGGUGUAGCA
rnacentral:rRNA from 1 species